CCCUCGCUUGGCCUCCAAUCCCUCGGCCCUCGCUAUCGGGCCGCCCCUUCCUCUUUCCACUCGCUUCUCUCCCACCUCCCACCUCCCACCUCCCACCUCAUCAUGGCAGCAUGCUCAUGCUUCUCAUCUUCCAAUGGUGGAAGUAUAAAGGGACUGAAUUGUAAAUUGCUGGACUGCAAUGUAAUUUUAGCCUUUUGAGGGGUUAAGUUGCAGAUUUUUGAGCUUAUCUCAACCCCAGCCACUCCCUGCAGCUGCCCACGUAUCCAGCCUCUCUCCCUCUCCUUUCUUUUCAUUUCUUUCUCCUUCUCCUUCUCUCUAACCCUAGGUGAAGCUUAAUAGAGAAGGUUGAUUUGGAGUUGGAUCUUUUUGGUGUGUUGAGCUGAAAAGAGAAGACUUGAGCUGAAAUAGAACCGGGGGGAGCUUCGAAUUUAGGUAAGAACUUGUAGUGGCUGAUAGGGAAUUUGGUGGAGUAGAUUUCAGAAUUGGGGCUUCUUGCUGUUGGAGCUGAAAGGAGGGCUUUUGGUGCAGAAAAUCUGCUAGUGACGCAUUCAGCUUGAAGAUUGGAAAGCUAGCUUGGAAUUGAUUGCGUGGAAACCUAAUAGAGGGUGAACGGACGCGUUGGAAAGCUCUGAUUGGUGUUCCGACGAGCCGACGACACGCUAAUGAGGAAAAUCUCAUUUUAGCUUCGUUUGUCGCGAGCGAGGAUCGCAUGGUUCAUAAAUCGCGGGAAGUGGAUUUCUCGCAUUCCGGCAUCAUUUAAAGGUUCUAGCUCGUGCGGGGUGAUCGAGAAUCAUGGUAUGGGCAGCAUUCCAUAAAUAGUGGACAUCCAUUGAGUAUAGUUGUACCUUAUUUAUUUCAUCUGUUUAUAGUUGAUGAAAGCAAAUAUAAAUUAUUCAUUUCAGAGAUGAUAAUAUAUAUAUUGGAAG